CCCUAGCUCAAGCAAACCAAGCAAUUGAAUCCAAAUUCUCAAGCUAAUCCAGUGCAUGAGUCAAUAAAUUCGAAUAGCUAACCCCAAUUUCUUAAGUGGCGUGAAGGAAGAAGGUACGAGCGCUAAGAAAACGGAAGGCACGCAAGACCGAGGUAAAUCCUCAAUUUAGGCGACUUGGAGAAUCAGAGCGAGCACGUGUUCAUGCUAUGUCAUACUAAGCGCUUCCGCUAGCUUGUACUAAUGUUUUUGGUCAAAUACUUGUUGGUUUUGUAUAACUUAGUUAGAAGUCAUACUUUUUAAAAAACUUGUAGUCUUGGUUUUUGGUAGUUUCAAGUCGAACGAAUCGUAGAAUUGUAUUUAGUUUGAUUAUGGUUAAAACAGGGGUAUAUCCGUUUUACGGACGGGUCAUGCCCAAAUUUUGUCAAGAGUAUG